rnacentral:rRNA from 1 species
AACGAACGCUGGCGGCAUGCCUAACACAUGCAAGUCGAACGAGACCUUCGGGUCUAGUGGCGCACGGGUGCGUAACGUGUGGGAACCUUCCCUUAGGUUCGGAAUAACUCCCCGAAAGGGGUGCUAAUACCGGAUAAUGUCUUCGGACCAAAGAUUUAUCGCCUUUGGAUGGGCCCGCGUUGGAUUAGCUAGUUGGUAGGGUAAAAGCCUACCAAGGCUACGAUACAUAGCUGGUCUGAGAGGAUGAGCAGCCACACUGGGACUGAGACACGGCCCAGACUCCUACGGGAGGCAGGAGUGGGGAAUAUUGGACAAUGGGCGAAGGCAUGAAGCAGCUAUGCCGGGUGAGUGAUGAAGGCCUUAGGGUAGUAAAGCUCUUUUACCCGGGAUGAUAAUGACAGUACCGGGAGAAUAAGCACCGGCUAACUCCGUG